UGGAUGCCCUGGCAGUCAGAGGCGAUGAAGGACGUGCUAAUCUGCGAUAAGCGCCGGUAAGGUGAUAUGAACCGUUAUAACCGGCGAUUUCCGAAUGGGGAAACCCAGUGUGAUUCGUCACACUAUCAUUAACUGAAUCCAUAGGUUAAUGAGGCGAACCGGGGGAACUGAAACAUCUAAGUACCCCGAGGAAAAGAAAUCAACCGAGAUUCCCCCAGUAGCGGCGAGCGAACGGGGAGGAGCCCAGAGCCUGAAUCAGCAUGUGUGUUAGUGGAAGCGUCUGGAAAGGCGCGCGAUACAGGGUGACAGCCCCGUACACAAAAGCGCAUGUGCUGUGAGCUCGAUGAGUAGGGCGGGACACGUGGUAUCCUGUCUGAAUAUGGGGGGACCAUCCUCCAAGGCUAAAUACUCCUGACUGACCGAUAGUGAACCAGUACCGUGAGGGAAAGGCGAAAAGAACCCCGGCGAGGGGAGUGAAAAAGAACCUGAAACCGUGUACGUACAAGCAGUGGGAGCACAGGUUUACCUGUGUGACUGCGUACCUUUUGUAUAAUGGGUCAGCGACUUAU
rnacentral:rRNA from 1 species